rnacentral:rRNA from 1 species
UACGUAGGUGGCAAGCGUUACUCGGAAUCACUAGGCGUAAAGCGCAGGUAGGCGGUUUGAUAAGUCUGUUGUGAAAGCUCCCGGCUUAACUGGGAGAGGUCAACGGAAACUGUCAGGCUAGAGUGUGGUAGAGGUAGCUGGAAUUCCCGGUGUAGCGGUGAAAUGCGUAGAUAUCGGGAGGAAUACCUAUGGCGAAAGCAGGCUACUGGACCGGUACUGACGCUGAUGCGCGAAAGCGUGGGGAGCAAACGGG